UACGGAGGGUGCAAGCGUUGUUCGGAAUCACUGGGCGUAAAGGGCGUGUAGGCGGUCCGCUAAGUCUGAUGUGAAAGCCCGGGGCUCACCCCCGGAAGGGCAUUGGAAACUGGCGGACGCGAGUCCCGGAGAGGGUAGUGGAAUUCCCGGUGUAGCGGUGAAAUGCGUAGAUAUCGGGAGGAACAUCAGUGGCGAAGGCGGCUACCUGGCCCAAUACUGACACUCAGGUGCGACAGCGUGGGGAGCAAACAGG
rnacentral:rRNA from 1 species